ACAUUUUUCAAAGUGACAUCAAAGUUGGUGCUGAGCUGCCCAAUGGUAAAGUUGACCCUUGAUAAAUCCUUGCUGUCCCAGUGUAAGCCUGUGUUUGUGUUCGUCAGGGUUGGGAAAGAGACUUCUUUGAGGUGGUCAGCCUUCCAUCCCCCACGCACAACACGCUGAGAUACUCUCUGAGGAAGAGAACAGGGCAGCUCUAUGUCGUCCCCAGUAGAGGCAUUAACAUCUGUGCUCUGGAGAUC